rnacentral:rRNA from 1 species
UACGGAGGGUGCAAGCGUUAUCCGGAUUCACUGGGGUUAAAGGGUGCGUAGGUGGGUUGAUAAGUCCGUGGUGAAAUCCCUGAGCUUAACUUGGGAACUGCCAUUGAUACUAUUGAUCUUGAAUACCGUGGAGGUCAGCGGAAUAUGUCAUGUAGCGGUGAAAUGCUUAGAUAUGACAUAGAACACCAAUUGCGAAGGCAGCUGGCUACGCGAAUAUUGACACUGAUGCACGAAAGCGUGGGGAUCAAACAGG